UUCCUACGGGAGGCAGCAGUGAGGGAUAUUGGUCAAUGGGGGAAACCCUGAACCAGCAACGCCGCGUGAGGGAAGACGGUUUUCGGAUUGUAAAGUUCUGUUGAAGGGGAAAAAGAGCGGAGAGAGGAAAUGGUCUCCGAUUGAUAUUACCCUUCGAGGAAGUCACGGCUAACUACGUGCCAGCAGCCGCGGUAAUACGUAGGUGGCGAGCGUUAUCCGGAAUGAUUGGGCGUAAAGGGUGCGUAGGCGGCCUGCUAAGUCUGG
rnacentral:rRNA from 1 species